rnacentral:rRNA from 1 species
UACAGAGGGGGCAAGCGUUGUUCGGAAUUACUGGGCGUAAAGGGCGCGUAGGCGGCUAGGCAAGUCAGGUGUGAAAGCCCCGGGCUCAACCUGGGAACCGCGCUUGAGACUGGCACGCUCGAGUUCGGGAGAGGAUGGUGGAAUUCCCAGUGUAGAGGUGAAAUUCGUAGAUAUUGGGAAGAACACCGAUGGCGAAGGCAGCCAUCUGGACCGACACUGACGCUGAGGCGCGAAAGCGUGGGAGCAACAGG